rnacentral:lncRNA from 1 species
CUUAAUUACCAGCACAUACACAAUAUGUAGACAUAUACGGUCUGUGAUCACAAGUCUAUUAUGCUCAGCGAGCACUUAUUAAACAUCUAUUGUAUGUCAGGUAUUGUGUUAGGUACCUUAAAGAGCUUAUUUAAUUCUCACUAACCCCUAAGAUGUAAUUCUUAUUAUUAUCCCCAUUUCACAGCUAGAGAAUUCCAGAAAUUUAAGUGUUUGCUCUUAAUUGGCAGAGAUAACAUGAUCGUGACUAUUACUAUUACUUUUGUCCUAGAGAGCCCAGCUCUCUAACAAUGCUUAAAUCCCAUCUGCACAUCACACAAACAUCUGUGCACAAACAUACCUGGAGAUUCUCAGACAGACACAUCUGAAUACAUAAGGAACAUCCAUUAUGCACACCUCACACAAUGCCCAGACUCACUGAAUUACAGUCCCGCCUCCAUAAUCAGAACAUCCUUUUUUUUUCAUGCUACUCCUUUCAAGGGCUCCCCUGAUUGGGAGGCGAAUGCAGGUCAAGAAUUCCAGUAAUGGCUUCCCCUCCUCAGGGUAGCUGGAUUUUAACUGAUGAAUCCGGGACACCCCAAUGCAAAAGCUGCCAGAAUUAUUGGCUCUUAGGGGAGUUCAGGGCUAUGGUAAGACGACAAGGGAGAGGACUGUAAGGAGAAAAAUCUUCCUUUCUUUUAUUCACUCUGUGGCAGUUAUUGGCCACCAGCCGUCUGCCACCUACUGUGCAGAAGAAAGCUGUGGUGGGAGGACUGGGUGCUUGGCCUCACGGGUGUCCUGUCUGCUGGUAUUACAGUGGCUCCUGACACACCCUCCCAAGGCCACGUGUAGGGGGAUGGUCACAAUCUGGAGUUUGUGGUUCCAUUUAGAAUCUUUGUUGUGGUUUUCCAGGAUCCAGUAGCCACGUGGUCUAUUUAAAUUUGAAUUUAAAUUCAUUAAAAUGAAAAGAAAAAGAUCCAUUCUUUGGGCCCCAGCUGGAUUUCAAGGGCUCAGCACCUCCAUCAGCUACAGUCCAGGUUUGCUGACAGCUACCAAGCCACGAAUCAAGGACUAAGAAUCUUUGACUCCAGAUUCAACAUGGCUUUGAAGUUCCAGGGGUCAGACCUCAUCUUCAGGGUGGCCGUUCUCCAGGGGAGACCUCACCGUCUGCACAGGAGGUUCUGCGUGCCACUAACUCCACCAACAAAGAUGAGGACGGCAGUUUCCCUUUAUGGGUGGCUUUUG